ACKGCUCAGUAACACGUAGCUAACCUACCCUCGGGUCGAGUAUACCCCCGGGAAACUGGGGCUAAUCCACGAUAGGUGUGGAGGCCUGGAAUGGUUCCACGCCCAAAUGUACGAUUAUCAUGUUUGUCGUACGCCCGAGGAUGGGGCUGCGGUCGAUCAGGCAGUUGGUGAGGUAACAGCUCACCAAACCUUUGACCGAUACGGGCCAUGAAAGUGGUAGCCCGGAGAUGGGCACUGAGACAGGGGCCCAGGCCCUACGGGGCGCAGCAGGCGCGAAAACUCCACAAUGUACGGAAGUACGAUGGGGUUAUCUCGAGUGCAGUCCGAUAAGGGCUGCUUUUCCAUAGAGUAAUAUCCUGUGGGAAUAAGAGGGGGGCAAGACUGGUGUCAGCCGCCGCGGUAACACCAGCCCCUCGAGUGGUGGGGACUAUUAUUUGGCCUAAAGCGUCCGUAGCUGGCUGUAUAAGUUCCCCGGUAAAUCCGACGUCCUAAGCGUCGGGCUUCGGGAAAUACCAUACAGCUAGAGGGUGGGAUAGGUGAGCGGUAUUUCUGGGGUAGGGGCGAAAUCCUUUGAUCCCAGGAGGACCACCAGUGGCGAAGGCUGCUCACUAGAACACGCCUGACGGUCAGGGACGAAAGCUGGGGCAGCGAACCGGAUUAGAUACCCGGGUAGUCCCAGCUGUAAACGAUGCUAGCUAGGUGUUGGGUCGGCCACGCGCCGCCCCAGUGCCGCAGGGAAGCCGUUAAGCUAGCCGCCUGGGGAGUACGGCCGCAAGGCUGAAACUUAAAGGAAUUGGCGGGGGAGCAC
rnacentral:rRNA from 1 species